GGGGUUGUGGCUCCAUGGUAGAGCACUCGCCUUGCAUGUGUGAGGCACUGGGUUUGAUCCUCAGCACCACA
rnacentral:tRNA from 1 species